rnacentral:misc_RNA from 1 species
AUGAGUUUACUACCCGUGUCUCUAUUGUCUCUAUUGCUCCUAAGAUCUGCGCCAUCUCUUGGUCGUACACUGACGUUUAAAGAUGACGGUUGCAAGGGAACAUACAACCCUUCACCACAAGAGAGUUUUAUGGUCAAUCACACGGGUGCCCCUCUGCACACCUUUUGUCGGGAUAUGUCAUUCAGUGGCUGGGAUUAUGAUCACCCCGUCGAAGUAUGUGUAAAAGUAACGGACUAUAAAAUUGACUGCUCCCAGAAGCUUGAAUACAGAAAGGGCACUAACUGGGGCAAACCAACUAAGGGUGACGAGCAGAGCGAGAAUACACGAGUACUUUACACGGUGUACAGCGGGAAAGAAAGGCCUCAGAACAGCGAUCCCAAAUCGUCCUUAAUUGUCGUCUUUCUUGGUACCACACUACUGACAGCAUUGUUUUUUACUUCCUGUAUAUUCGGGUAUUACAUGCGCCAUUGGAGAGCACCACAGCAUCGGAACCAUGAAGAAGUGGCUACGUAUAACCCCAGCCAGCAACCACAGAUCAAUAUUAAUCAUUGCUACCACCCAGGUACGUACAUAAUCAAAGUCAUACAGUUCCAAAUCAGGACGUGUCUCCAAAUCAGAACCCUGGCCACGGACAGCCCUCCACUUCCUCUCUACAAGGGUACAGCGUGCCAGCACAGGGGCCUUAACAGUGGAGCAGUCAGUUUCCAAAUUACCCCGCCCCUAACGCACCUGUUGCGUACUCGGGGUCGGACAACAAACACCAACAAGCGUCCAUUUGACAUCGAGUGA